rnacentral:rRNA from 1 species
UACGGGGGGGGCAAGCGUUGUUCGGAAUUACUGGGCGUAAAGGGCUCGUAGGCGGCCAACUAAGUCAGACGUGAAAUCCCUCGGCUUAACCGGGGAACUGCGUCUGAUACUGAAUGGCUUGAGGUUGGGAGAGGGAUGCGGAAUUCCAGGUGUAGCGGUGAAAUGCGUAGAUAUCUGGAGGAACACCGGUGGCGAAGGCGGCAUCCUGGACCAAUUCUGACGCUGAGGAGCGAAAGCCAGGGGAGCAAACGGG